rfam:Allofrancisella guangzhouensis strain 08HL01032 chromosome, complete genome.
AAGAGCGGUAUGAAUCGAGAGGUUCACGUACCGUUCUGUGAGAGGCUAGAGGGGAGGUUCCUCUGGUCUACUCGAC